rnacentral:rRNA from 1 species
CCUACGGGAGGCAGCAGUGGGGAAUUUUGGACAAUGGGCGCAAGCCUGAUCCAGCAAUGCCGCGUGCAGGAUGAAGGCCUUCGGGUUGUAAACUGCUUUUGUACGGAACGAAACGGUGAGCUCUAAUACAGUUUGCUAAUGACGGUACCGUAAGAAUAAGCACCGGCUAACUACGUGCCAGCAGCCGCGGUAAUACGUAGGGUGCGAGCGUUAAUCGGAAUUACUGGGCGUAAAGCGUGCGCAGGCGGUGAUGUAAGACAGAUGUGAAAUGCCCGGGCUCAACCUGGGACCUGCAUUUGUGACUGCAUCGCUAGAGUACGGUAGAGGGGGAUGGAAUUCCGCGUGUAGCAGUGAAAUGCGUAGAUAUGCGGAGGAACACCGAUGGCGAAGGCAAUCCCCUGGACCUGUACUGACGCUCAUGCACGAAAGCGUGGGGAGCAAACAGGAUUAGAUACCCUGGUAGUCCACGCCCUAAACGAUGUCAACUGGUUGUUGGGUCUUCACUGACUCAGUAACGAAGCUAACGCGUGAAGUUGACCGCCUGGGGAGUACGGCCGCAAGGUUGAAACUCAAAGGAAAUUGACGGGCGNGAGAGNGCGACGGACGACACAGGGAGGAGG